AUAAUAAACUUGUCACAUUGACAGCAAUUGUGCAUGCAUGUUGACAACUUGCCGUCAGUUUGUUGAAUUCUAAUGUAGAAUUUUAUAUGAUGUCAGAACAACAGACAGCGGAAGCACAAUAGAUUUGCGGAAACACCUUGUCUUUAGUUUGAUAAAAUUAAUAGGGAAUAAGUGACAGCAAAAUAACAACACGUUGCCUUUAUUUAGCUAUCUGGGUAUAGACUUUAAGUACUGGCAGUGAAUUUCAGAUUAGCUCAAGCUAUUAGGUUAGCUGACUAAACUUCUUUUGUGUCAGUCAGAACAGGCUGUAUACCUGAAAAGGGUUUCUACUUUUCUUUCAUACAUCGCAGUAGUUGAAGAUCAUCCCGAUAGAGCAAAUUUUCCAUUCUACGAAGCAUUUACGGAUAAAAUGCCAACAGUGGGUACAUUUGUACUCCGGUUGUGGAACAACAUCUUAUGUCUGGAUCGUCGCGAUUUGAACCUUUUAUUUUUAUUAAAAAUAUGCUUUUACUUUAAUUUUUUUAAAGCUGAAAUAAAAAAAAA